rnacentral:rRNA from 1 species
UACAGGGGGUGCAAACGUUGCUCGGAAUCAUUGGGCGUAAAGCGCACGUAGGCGGUUCGUUAUGUCGGAUGUGAAAGCCCUUGGCUUAACCGAGGAAGUGCAUCCGAAACUGGCGAGCUAGAGUACGAAAGAGGAUCGCGGAAUUCCCGGUGUAGAGGUGGAAAAUUCGUCGAGAUAUCGGGAGGAACACCGGUGGCGAAGGCGGCGAUCUGGGUCGAUACUGACGCGUGAGGUGCGAAAGCGUGGGGGCAAAC